rnacentral:rRNA from 1 species
AAUGGGCGCAAGCCUGAUCCAGCCAUGCCGCGUGAGUGAUGAAGGCCUUAGGGUUGUAAAGCUCUUUCGGCGGGGACGAUAAUGACGGUACCCGCAGAAGAAGCCCCGGCAAACUUCGUGCCAGCAGCCGCGGUAAUACGAAGGGGGCUAGCGUUGUUCGGAAUCACUGGGCGUAAAGCGUAUGUAGGCGGAUCGUUAAGUCGGGGGUGAAAGCCCGAGGCUCAACCUCGGAACUGCCUUCGAUACUGGCGAUCUUGAGUCCGGGAGAGGUGAGUGGAACUGCGAGUGUAGAGGUGAAAUUCGUAGAUAUUCGCAAGAACACCAGUGGCGAAGGCGGCUCACUGGCCCGGUACUGACGCUGAGAUACGAAAGCGUGGGGAGCAAA